rnacentral:piRNA from 1 species
UCACAGCGUCCCUAAGGAAGAUUUUUGC